GAGCUAUGAGGAAGAUAUUAAUGUGGUCUGAGAUACCACUGAUGACUGUAAGAUCCAACUCUGAGCUCGCUGCC
rnacentral:snoRNA from 1 species